rnacentral:rRNA from 1 species
CGUAAGCUUGGAUCCCGGGGAGACAGAUGGGAGCUUGCUCCCUGAUGUUAGCGGCGGACGGGUGAGUAACACGUGGGUAACCUGCCUGUAAGACUGGGAUAACUCCGGGAAACCGGGGCUAAUACCGGAUGCUUGUUUGAACCGCAUGGUUCAAACAUAAAAGGUGGCUUCGGGCUACCACUUACAGAUGGACCCGCGGCGCAUUAGCUAGUUGGUGAGGUAAUGGCUCACCAAGGCAACGAUGCGUAGCCGACCUGAGAGGGUGAUCGGCCACACUGGGACUGAGACACGGCCCAGACUCCUACGGGAGGCAGCAGUAGGGAAUCUUCCGCAAUGGACGAAAGUCUGACGGAGCAACGCCGCGUGAGUGAUGAAGGUUUUCGGAUCGUAAAGCUCUGUUGUUAGGGAAGAACAAGUACCGUUCGAAUAGGGCGGUACCUUGACGGUACCUAACCAGAAAGCCACGGCUAACUACGUGCCAGCAGCCGCGGUAAUACGUAGGUGGCAAGCGUUGUCCGGAAUUAUUGGGCGUAAAGGGCUCGCAGGCGGUUUCUUAAGUCUGAUGUGAAAGCCCCCGGCUCAACCGGGGAGGGUCAUUGGAAACUGGGGAACUUGAGUGCAGAAGAGGAGAGUGGAAUUCCACGUGUAGCGGUGAAAAUGCGUAGAGAUGUGGAGGAAACACCAGUGGCGAAGGCGACUCUCUGGUCUGUUAACUGGACGCUGAGGAAGCGAAAAGCGUGGGGGAGCGAAACAGGGAUUAGAUACCCCUGGUAGUCCACGCCCGUAAAACGAAUGAAUGCCUAAAGUGGUUAGGGGGGGU